CACACACACACACACACACACACACACAUGUAUGGCCUUUUUAGUAAGGAUGCUUGCCUUGCAGGCCUGGUACCUCACUUCAAUUUCCAGAGCAUAUCUAAAGGUGGAAAGGGACCAUCAAUUCUAUUCAAUUGUCCUCUGACUUUUACCCAUGCACUGUGACAUUUGUACCCACACAUAGACAUCAUACUCUCUCUCUCUCUUACUCUCACUCUCUCUGUUUCUCACUCUCUGUCUCUCUGUCUGUCUCUCUCUGUCUCUCUGUCUCUCACUCUUUGUCUCUGUCUCUGUGUCUCUGUCUCUCUCUGUCUCCCAAUCACACACACACACACACACACACACACACACACACACACACACACACACACGUGCACACAAUUUAAAAAACAAGAAAUCAAAGUAGGAGAGGGGUACGUGGCUCCAGGCUUCCAGAGGGAGUAGGAGAGGAAUAAAAAGAGAAAUGGGAGAUGAAUAUCAUCAAAAUACAUUAUAGAAAUGCCUGAAACUAUCAAUAAAUAAAUUUAAAACAGGAAAAUAAAAAAAAAUAAGUAAAGCCAAAAACUGGAAAGAUGUACUACGAAAGAGUGCUGGAGUCAGUUAAAGAAGUUUUAAAUACACAGGACACAGAGGUGAUACUAUGCUAUUGACCUAGAAGGAUCAAUAUUGCCAAUUCUCCUGAAAUUGUUGUACAGAUUGAAGGCCACUUCAAUCAAAAAUCCCAGUAGGCAUGUCUGUAGAAAUCAAUAAAUUUAUUUAAAAAUACAUAUGAAGUACAGGUUGGAGGACUGUUACAACAUAUUUUAGAUUUAUUAAAAGUUUACAGUAAUUGAGAUCACAUGUUUAGCAUACAGACGGAAAAAGUAUAUUAUCAAUAAAAUUAGGUAAGUUCUGUCAUGGACCAUGAUACAGAUUGUAUGCACACAACACUAAUUUUUAACAAAGAAACAUAGAUGCAAAAGAAAAAGGAUGUUUCCACAAACUGGACACCCAGAGGCAAAAAUACAAACUUCAACUCAUGCUCCUCAACAUAUUUAGAAAGUUCGUUCAAGUGGAUCGUAAGUGUCAGAUAUAAGUCUCAGCUAUGCAGCUUCUAAGAGAAAAUGUAGGGGGGAAAUUCAGUGACCUUAGGCUAGGCAGAGUCACACGGUCAUGCUAGGAAUCGAGCCCAAGGCCUUACAGAGGCUAAGCCGUAGCUCUGGCUCCUGAUUUUAUUGUUUCACUUUUUAAUUUUUGUUCUUGCUGUGAAACCCAGGCUCAAGGUCAUCUUGACUCUACCACCCCAGAGCUGGGAUUACAGGCAUGUGUCACUAUGACUGCCAGUCCUUAACUUAAAAAAAAAAAAGCUUUCUAAAAUUUACCAAUCCGAUGCUUACUAAUAGACCGUUUGCUUUGAACCACCAGCCUAAACCUCACGAGGUCCGUUUUGCUUGGGCUUUGUGUUAGUACCACCAAAGGAUAAAAUGGAGACAGACUCAUUAGCAGUUCAGUAAGGCCGACCCCCUCUUUUAUUAACAAACCUUAGGAGUGUCCUUCUCUUUAAAACCGUUUUGAGUAAGAAAGCUAAACACUCCUGUCUCAGAGGCAUUUCAUCCUCAUGAUACAAGACAAGCACGUCCAGAAGCCUUCCUAGUAGCCAUCUUUCUCUCUGGAAUUAAACUGCGCGUGCUCGGCAAUGUACACUCGAAAUGAGCGCGCUCAGGAAACGUCUCCCCUGAAAAUUCCUUCCUACACGAAUAGGCAUGGGCUUCGUGAACAAAUAACGGCGGUUCCUUUGUUCACAGGCAUCGCGUCGGAAAUAACUCCUGUAGCAUCCCUACCUUCUGUAGCUGAUCGCUCUUUCUCCACAAUAUCACCUCUUGUAAAGUAUGGCUACCCACUGGUUAGGGCUCUGCCCAUGGAACGGGCGAUCGUCACGUUCACCUCACCUGAUCAUGGUCUUUUCUCCAAGGGCCACCUCAGGCCGUCUAUAGUCCUGUGGUCAGCUCCUCGGUUGUACUCACACCUUUGCACAUCUCCAUGAAUGACCUCGAUGAUGGUUUGGAAUUCUAACACCAACUUUGAGACAUUUCCAAAACUGCCCACCUCCCAGUAUUCUUAAAGCAAGCAGCGAGCGCCAGUGUUCAGUGGGUUGACAUUUUGGCUAGCGUACGGAAGAUUCUAAACAAAAUUUCAGAUCGCGAGCAGAGCUUUAAUUACAAAGAAAUCUCUCAAACCCCCGUAGCCUAUUGCAGUCUCUUUCUUGCUCCAAGUGGCAAUGACCCACCUUGUCUACAGGCCAUAACAACUAUUGCCAACUUUGUGGCUGACUCUUCUGCUCACUCAGUUUCAUGAAGACAUGUAUCCGAUCUUGGCUUACCCGGUUCACAAUGCAUUCUUGACGUCAGAUGCCGUUUGGAAAAACUUGAAGUCCAGGCAACGAAGCUUACACUUAAUGUGUUCAGCCAAGGAAGCUAUCCAGAUACUAAAUGAACAGUUUUCUGGCCAGAAAGAAUUUGAAUUUUUGAAUUGGCAAGAGACAAGCAACGGGAUUCUUGAACUGCUUAAACAUGCUGAGGUGGAAAUUCAAGGGAGCCAAGAAGGUGUUUAAACUUGCUUCUCAACAACUCCGUUCAGUGCUAUUCCCUACAGAAACCCAUCAGGGCUCUGUUCAGACCCGUUCUAAAUGGGCAGAGGUACAGCCCCACCUCCAGGAAAAUAUUACUUCACCUGCUUCUGUUUGGAGAUGAGCUCCUCAAAUUUCUUGCCAUUUCCUUUUGGGGACAGGGGCUGUAUCUCAGUGCUAGAACCAUCCAGGAGGCUCUGGGUCGUUCCCUCAGCCCUAUACAAAACAGAGCAUUUCUAGAUAAAACAUUUACUCAUUUU